GAUGUNGAUUUGGAGGUUGUUCCCUUGAGGCGUGGCUUCCGGAGCUAACGCGUUAAAUCGACCGCCUGGGGAGUACGGCCGCAAGGUUAAAACUCAAAUGAAUUGACGGGGGCCCGCACAAGCGGUGGAGCAUGUGGUUUAAUUUGAUGCAACGCGAAGAACCUUACCUGGUCUUGACAUCCACAGAACUUUCCAGAGAUGGAUUGGUGCCUUCGGGAACUGUGAGACAGGUGCUGCAUGGCUGUCGUCAGCUCGUGUUGUGAAAUGUUGGGUUAAGUCCCGCAACGAGCGCAACCCUUAUCCUUUGUUGCCAGCGGUUAGGCCGGGAACUCAAAGGAGACUGCCAGUGAUAAACUGGAGGAAGGUGGGGAUGACGUCAAGUCCUCAU
rnacentral:rRNA from 1 species